rnacentral:rRNA from 1 species
UACGGGGGGGGCAAGCGUUUGUUCGGAAUUACUGGGCGUAAAGGGCUCGUAGGCGGCCAACUAAGUCGGACGUGAAAUCCCCAGGCUCAACCUGGGAACUGCGUCCGAUACUGGAUGGCUUGAAUCCGGGAGAGGGAUGCAGAAUUCCAGGUGUAGCGGUGAAAUGCGUAGAUAUCUGGAGGAAUACCGGUGGCGAAGGCGGCAUCCUGGACCGGUAUUGACGCUGAGGCGCGAAAGCCAGGGGAGCAAACAGG